rnacentral:snoRNA from 1 species
CUAGCAAAACAAUGAUUAUGUAAAUAGACCACAGUGGCAAGCCAUGCAACAGAAGGGGUCUUAGAAGCAGAGUUUAGAAGCAGACCAACACUACCCCAUGAUGUAUAGUCCCUUUCUAUAAUGUUAGAGAUGAAGUUGCGCCUCUGAAUUUGUGCAUGCAUAUUCCUACAACUUCUCAGAGUCCUGUGGACAAUGAGGAAGUGAACCAUGUAGGAAACAUGC